rnacentral:tmRNA from 1 species
AGCCACUUAAAUCAGUAGACCAGACUAAACAUGUAGAUCCACAGGCGGAUUGCUGGCGGACGGGGGUUCGAUUCCCCCCGCCUCCACCA